rnacentral:rRNA from 1 species
UCGGGAAUUUUGGGCAAUGGGGGAAACCCUGACCCAGCAACGCCGCGUGAAGGAUGAAGUAUUUUGGUAUGUAAACUUCGAAAGAAUAGGAAGAAUAAAUGACGGUACUAUUUAUAAGGUCCGGCUAACUACGUGCCAGCAGCCGCGGUAAUACGUAGGGACCAAGCGUUGUUCGGAUUUACUGGGCGUAAAGGGCGCGUAGGCGGCAUGACAAGUCACUUGUGAAAUCUCUGGGCUUAACCCAGAACGGCCAAGUGAUACUGUCGCGCUAGAGUGCAGAAGGGGCAAUCGGAAUUCUUGGUGUAGCGGUGAAAUGCGUAGAUAUCAAGAGGAACACCUGAGGUGAAGACGGGUUGCUGGGCUGACACUGACGCUGAGGCGCGAAAGCCAGGGGAGCAAACGGGAUUAGAUACCCCCGUAGUCCCUGAGCGGGCUGGCAAGGCGCAU